GUUCAGAGCUUCAAAGAAGAAGACUGUCGAUUGGUUGAUAAGAUGGUCUUUGUUGACAUUUUCCACCUCAAGUGGCACAGCUUCACUUUCACUGCAGCAAGAAGGAAAAGCAAAGUGGCCUGAGUAUCACCCCAUUCAUUUGCCACAUUUCCUGAACAUAGCUCCUACCACCAUGGACUCGGGCCACCAGUUAGAAAGGGUUCCAUGCUAAAGAGGUUGCAGCUUCUCCCUCAGGUAACAGGGAACUUUGUCUCCUUCCACUUAGUACGGCUGGAAUAACGUGUUAAUUAUAUAAAUGAGCUCUUAUAUAGUGCUCUGGAGUUUCACUUACUUUUUGAUCUUGUUCAUUAUUCCACCUUCAUUGUUCUUGAUGUCAUGGACCAUCUUUUGAAGUUGCCUGCAAGAAAUAAAAUCAAACAUAAAAUAUUAA